AUGCGUGGCGGCUGCCACGGCCCCCUCCUGUCGGCGGCAGAGGCGGCGCGCGACCCAGAGCAGCGGGAGAAGACCUUGGCCGGGCGACGCACAGUGAUGCCGGCCGCCUCCUCGUCGUGCUCGUGGCCGGCGCUCCUCCUCCUCUGCCUGGCCCCGAUGGGGAGGAGGAAGGACGGCGGCAUCAGGGGUGAGGGAUGGACGGAGGCUCCGCUAGAUGGACGCCGCGUUCUCCAUCCCCGCCCUCGUCCCGGCUGUUGCUGCUCUUCCUUCCUGCGUGCGGCGGCCCGGUUGGCCGUCGACGGCAUGCUGGUAGUGGGGAGAGCAGCUAAGGCAGCGAACUCGGCGCUGGGAGAUGUACGGGGAGGAGAGGAGGACGGGACCAUGGCGGCGACGGCUGCGGUGGAGAAGGGGAGAAUGGGCUAG
rnacentral:rRNA from 1 species